rnacentral:rRNA from 1 species
UACGUAGGGGCCGAGCGUUGUCCGGAGUUAUUGGGCGUAAAGCGCGCGCAGGCGGCCUCGCGCGCCCGACGUGAAAGCCCCCGGCUUAACCGGGGAGGGUCGUUGGGGACGGCGGGGCUUGAGGGCGGGAGAGGGUGGUGGAAUUCCCGGUGUAGUGGUGAAAUGCGUAGAGAUCGGGAGGAACACCCGUGGCGAAGGCGGUUCUCUGGGCAUUACCUGACGCUGAGGAGCGAAAGUGUGGGGAGCGAACAGG